CCAAUAGCGUAUAUUAAAGUUGUUGCAGUUAAAAAGCUCGUAGUUGAACUUCGGAAUUUGCCCAUUGGUCAGGCUUAACUGUCUGAACUGGUGUGACGAGUUCCUACCUUCUGAGGAAUCUUCAUGCCAUUCAGUUGGUGUGGGGGGAAAUCAGGACUGUUACUUUGAAAAAAUUAGAGUGUUUAAAGCAGGCAUCCGUCUGAAUACAUUAGCAUGGAAU
rnacentral:rRNA from 1 species